AUGCUCACUUCAGCAGCAAGUGUACUAAAAUUGGAAUGAUACAGAAAAGAUUAGCAUGGCCCAUGUACAAGGGUGACACGCAAAUUCAUGACACAUUCCAAAUGGAA
ensembl:snRNA U6 U6 spliceosomal RNA